AGGGUGUUAAGUAAAAACAAAAGCUUCUAACUUUUUUUUAAGCGGUUCAAUUCCGUUUCCAUCCU
rnacentral:tRNA from 1 species